rnacentral:rRNA from 1 species
UGCUGAUUUGCUGACGAGUGGCGGACGGCUGAUUAAUGUCUGGGAAACUGCCUGAUGGAGGGGGAUAACUACUGGAAACGGUAGCUAAUACCGCAUAACGUCGCAAGACCAAAGAGGGGGACCUUCGGGCCUCUUGCCAUCGGAUGUGCCCAGAUGGGAUUAGCUAGUAGGUGGGGUAACGGCUCACCUAGGCGACGAUCCCUAGCUGGUCUGAGAGGAUGACCAGCCACACUGGAACUGAGACACGGUCCAGACUCCUACGGGAGGCAGCAGUGGGGAAUAUUGCACAAUGGGCGCAAGCCUGAUGCAGCCAUGCCGCGUGUAUGAAGAAGGCCUUCGGGUUGUAAAGUACUUUCAGCGGGGAGGAAGGGAGUAAAGUUAAUACCUUUGCUCAUUGACGUUACCCGCAGAAGAAGCACCGGCUAACUCCGUGCCAGCAGCCGCGGUAAUACGGAGGGUGCAAGCGUUAAUCGGAAUUACUGGGCGUAAAGCGCACGCAGGCGGUUUGUUAAGUCAGAUGUGAAAUCCCCGGGCUCAACCUGGGAACUGCAUCUGAUACUGGCAAGCUUGAGUCUCGUAGAGGGGGGUAGAAUUCCAGGUGUAGCGGUGAAAUGCGUAGAGAUCUGGAGGAAUACCGGUGGCGAAGGCGGCCCCCUGGACGAAGACUGACGCUCAGGUGCGAAAGCGUGGGGAGCAAACA